AUUGAACGCUGGCGGCAUGCCUUACACAUGCAAGUCGAACGGUAACAGGUCUUCGGAUGCUGACGAGUGGCGAACGGGCGAGUAAUACAUCGGAACGUGCCCGAUCGUGGGGGAUAACGGAGCGAAAGCUUUGCUAAUACCGCAUACGAUCUACGGAUGAAAGCCGGGGACCGCAAGGCCUUGCGCGGACGGAGCGGCCGAUGGCAGAUUAGGUAGUUGGUGGGAUAAAAGCUUACCAAGCCGACGAUCUGUAGCUGGUCUGAGAGGACGACCAGCCACACUGGGACUGAGACACGGCCCAGACUCCUACGGGAGGCAGCAGUGGGGAAUUUUGGACAAUGGGCGAAAGCCUGAUCCAGCCAUGCCGCGUGCAGGAUGAAGGCCUUCGGGUUGUAAACUGCUUUUGUACGGAACGAAAAGACUCUUUCUAAUAAAGAGGGUCCAUGACGGUACCGUAAGAAUAAGCACCGGCUAACUACGUG
rnacentral:rRNA from 1 species